rnacentral:tRNA from 1 species
GCCUCCGUAGCUCAACGGAUAGAGCAACAGCCUUCUAAUCUGUCGGUUGCCGGUUCGAGUCCGGCCGGGGGCACCC